rnacentral:rRNA from 1 species
CCUACGGGGGGCAGCAGUGGGGAAUAUUGCACAAUGGGCGCAAGCCUGAUGCAGCCAUGCCGCGUGUGUGAAGAAGGCCUUCGGGUUGCAAAGCACUUUCAGCGGGGAGGAAGGCGGUGAGGUUAAUAACCUCAUCGAUUGACGUUACCCGCAGAAGAAGCACCGGCUAACUCCGUGCCAGCAGCCGCGGUAAUACGGAGGGUGCAAGCGUUAAUCGGAAUUACUGGGCGUAAAGCGCACGCAGGCGGUCUGUCAAGUCGGAUGUGAAAUCCCCGGGCUCAACCUGGGAACUGCAUUCGAAACUGGCAGGCUAGAGUCUUGUAGAGGGGGGUAGAAUUCCAGGUGUAGCGGUGAAAUGCGUAGAGAUCUGGAGGAAUACCGGUGGCGAAGGCGGCCCCCUGGACAAAGACUGACGCUCAGGUGCGAAAGCGUGGGGAGCAAACAGGAUUAGAUACCCCGGUAGUC